rnacentral:rRNA from 1 species
GAUGAACGCUGGCGGCGUGCCUAAUACAUGCAAGUCGAGCGAACAGACGAGGAGCUUGCUCCUCUGACGUUAGCGGCGGACGGGUGAGUAACACGUGGAUAACCUACCUAUAAGACUGGGAUAACUUCGGGAAACCGAAGCUAAUACCGGAUAAUAUAUUGAACCGCAUGGUUCAAUAGUGAAAGACGGUUUUGCUGUCACUUAUAGAUGGAUCCGCGCCGCAUUAGCUAGUUGGUAAGGUAACGGCUUACCAAGGCAACGAUGCGUAGCCGACCUGAGAGGGUGAUCGGCCACACUGGAACUGGGACACGGUCCAGACUCCUACGGGAGGCAGCAGUAGGGAAUCUUCCGCAAUGGGCGAAAGCCUGACGGAGCAACGCCGCGUGAGUGAUGAAGGUCUUCGGAUCGUAAAACUCUGUUAUUAGGGAAGAACAAAUGUGUAAGUAACUAUGCACGUCUUGACGGUACCUAAUCAGAAAGCCACGGCUAACUACGUG